AAUUGUAACAUUUGUGUCAAAAUGUCGGUGUUGUAAGAUUAUCGUGCGGUUAUUCAAUGUUUUUGAUGGAAAUUUUCAAUUAUUUUCAUUUGCCCACCUUGCAAAGCACUAAUAUCUCUCGGGAAGCUGAGAUGGACGCAAAGGUGGGCCAUAUGUUCGUGAGCGUGUGCGUCGGAUACAUCACGAUGUUGAUCAUCACGGCGGCCAUCUUGUGGUAUGUGAUUCACGUGUAUCAACGCAGUUAUGCGCACGCCAUCGCUGAUGAACUCUAUCGGAAAACUUUCAGUCUUGUUCCAAAUUAUGAGAUUUUCUACUCGGAAACAGAUAGUAACACGAGUAUAAUUCGAAGAAAACGUCGAAUAUUGCUUCCAUCCGUUCAAAAUUUCACACAAACUGAAAGUGAGUGUCAAACAGAAGGAAAUUUACAUGUUGAUGCAAUGUACAGUCGAUUGAUGCAAUACAGACUGACUGAUAAAAACAUCGAUAAAUUUUUAUGCGGAUCGAAUAAUCGCAGUAUUCUAUGCGUCAAUUCAUCAGACUACAUGAAGAAAUUUUGAAACAAAUUCACAGUGUACUCGUAACUCACCGCUUGCAAUUUUAAAAAUAAAAAUUUGUAAGUUUA